GGAGGCUUCCCCGCCCUGCUGGAGGGUUCCUGCUCCGAGUUGAGGCUCUCGGGGAGUGGCUCCAAAUUCCCUCAUUUUCUUUAUUUCUUACUGGUGAAAAUUUUUAUUGUGUCCAAAAGGAAAAAAAUAAACGCAAACAGCAAGUGGAUUUGGGACACCGGAGAGACAAGGACAUUCAGAAAGAGGAAAAUAAGCUCUCCGUAGUCGGCAGGAUUCGAACCUGCGCGGGGAGACCCCAAUGGAUUUCUAGUCCAUCGCCUUAACCACUCGGCCACGACUACCUACUAAUCUACAAUGGCUGUUUGACGGGGUUUUUGUCCAGGCAAUGGCUCCGCCCCCUUACUUUCUCCAGCGUUUCCCUCUGGCGUAUUCCCGACUCGGCGCCGCCCCCCGCCGAGGAGCUCCAGAAUUUUCGCGCGGGUCCCGGAGCGACCGCCCAGGCCCCGCCAGCGGGGGCUAGUGGAGGCAGCUGAUAGGCUGUCAAUGAAGCACGUGAGCACAUACAGGCGGCGAGUCGGUUGGCUCAGUUGGUUAGAGCCUGGUGCUAUUACCGUCAUGGGCACGGGUUCGAUCCCCGUAGGAGAUACCAGCGUUCUCAGUAUCAAACCACUCCCGCAGAGGGACGCGUCCUGGGCGUACCCACCCCGCAGCCGGGAAGACCGAAGUCACCUCGUUCCGUCCCGGCUGAGGCGCUCUCAGACAACGACGGCGGCAGAAAGAGAAGAAAAGGAAAAUACCCCACGUUCUUGCCGUGACUCGAAUUCGAACCGAGGUUGCUGCGACCACAACGCAGAGUACUAACCACUAUACGAUCACAGCCACCGAACGCCCUGCGCCACCACCGCAAACAUCAACUAUCUCUGCCUCACUCUUUUGGCCAUGUUCUCAAUGGUAAGGGGAUCGAUGGGAAUUUCGCCGGCGAAAAGUAAAGCGGCGAUGGCGCGGCAAAAUAAUGCAAAGUAGCGUUCCCGUCGGGGAAUCAAAUCCCGCUCUCCCGCAUCAGAGGGGGAAGCUACUCACCGCUAUACUAACGAGGACUACUCCCAAGAAUUGAGAAUUAGUGUCCAUACAGAAGGCGGGAACUGCCUGAGGGAAAAUGGCGGCAACCCGGGGGCCAUGAGGGAGCCGUGGGCAUUGCCGUGCCUGAGCGGGCACGGAAGGAGACCCUACCGAGGCUUUCGUAACAAGCUGCGGCCCGCGACCUCCUGCGUUUGCCUUGCUCUGAGCUUGAACACGAGGUUUACGGUGAGUCCCGCCUCACGGAGCGAUUUGCAGGGUAUGGCUGACUGGGAAACCCACCCCGUGGCUACCAAAUCCAUCAACCUGUUGUCUGCCAUCGUGAGAGGCGUGGUUUGCUGGGUGGUUUACAUUCAGAGCUUUCAGAUAGUCUCCCAAGCGUAGUUGGGUUUUCCUCACUAGAAAGGCAGCAAAGUUGGCACUGUGUAAUUGGUUUCAGUACCAAAAAAAGAAGGGGGGGGGAAUAACAAUUUAAAUACACCAUUUCUUGUAGCGUUACACAGUCUUGGGGGGAUCAGGAACCCGCAGAACGCUGACAUCAGAAGCUGGCGUUUUAAAGGCAUAUUUGUAAGCAGUUUCUGCCAUGUACAUGCAUCUUUUUGCUCCACCUGUCGCCGAAAGCGUCGGGAUAAAUCAAACACUAUGUUUUAGUAUUAGAAAGUAGGCAUUGCUUUAUUCGCAGCGCUGGCGUGCAUGUAUAUAACUCUGCCUAGAUGCAGGGCCACUUUCAAAACUUUUCACUUAUAUAUACAUUUUUAUCAAACGAAGAAAUUAAUGCCCACUGGUUAUAAAUGAUAUCAUUAUUUUAAUUAAACAGUAUUCUAUGUUUUAUUGGUUA